CACUUUGGAGUCUCCCAUCCUGCCGCCGCCUCUGCCGAGACUCUUGCUCGGCUUCCGUCUGCCGUGGCCACCGGGUGAGGAGACAAGAUUCCAAGGGAAUCCUGAGAAAGGACUGGGAUGCCAGCUACAACCUGCACCAGGAGCUCAGGGGUUUUCACACCAGGGAUGUGUGGGAAUCCCCUGAGAAGACAAUGACCUGGAGAACAGGAGGUUUGUACGCCUGGUUGGGGAGAUCACAUGGCAGUCAAUGCCAAGGACACUCCACCCCAUUCCAGAGCAUGGAGGGAAUGAGGACCCGGACAGCUGAGAGGCAGAGAAAGUGGAAUCCACAGAAAGGAGAUGAAGGAAACAGUAGUCUCCAUCAAAGAGUUGCUGCAGAAGUGGCAGGAACUGGCUGGACUUGGGCCUAUACCAGACGAAUGGAGAACAGGAACAGCCAGCCAAAGAGCAAGCACUGGAGAACUGUGUGGUUGCAGGUAUAUGGAGUGAAGCAGGAAGAAUGAUAUAUGCUUACAUAGAAUACUGCCCUCCUGACUCAGAAGCUGAUAUAUUGCUUUAUAAACAAAAGAACUCAUUACCUGUAGUGCCUGGAGUGUGACUACGCGCUGAGGUUCAGGGAAGGUUUAGAUGAAUCGAUGGGGGAGAGAUCUCGAAUGGCGAUACGGAGGAUAAAUUCCUAACCUUUUGAAGCCGAUGUCAAAGAGGGUAAUUGGAUUCUCUUCAACGUGUUUCUUGCUGCUGCUGUCAGAUGGAAAGCUAGACUGGAUCGAUGGAGGGGCUGACCCAGGAAGGCAAAUCUCAUCUUUUUCUGUAACUACAGAAGACACAAUUCUUCCCCAGAGGAUCUCAGUCCAUGCCAAGUGCCCAGAAUGAAGGUCGCAGCUGAUCAACCAGAGUUUGCCAUGCAAUUCCGGAUUCAAUUCAGUUCUUCGGGAGACCAUUAAUUCAGCAAACAUAUCUGUUGUGCUCCAGAGCCUGUGCUAGGCAGCAGGAGUGAAAACAUGGACAGACAUAACACCUUUUCUGGGAGAGCUACGUCUAAUUGUUUGCCACCAAAACAUUUACGGGUCAUCAUAAUACAGUGAACUGAGCCCUCCUGAGAGAGGGAGAUCAAUGCAGUCUGGGGAGUGAAGGAAGACUAGGAUUUUGGAGAAUCUGUCAGGGUUCCCUGGGAAGAGGAGGGAAUGUUGCCCUAAGCCAGGCCAGAGAUGACCAGGACCCAGCCUGAAGCAAUGGCAGUUGGGGGCAGAGAGGAGGCGAGGGGUUGGAAAACCGUUUGGGUAGUAGAAUUGACCCAGGAUAGGUGGUCCAUGGCAUGGAGUGGGUGCGGUUUGGGAGUAAGGGUGGGGUUAUUUCCAUGUGAUUGGGUUAGGGGCAUCAGCUGAAUUUGGUAUUACUUUCAGAGCAGCAGAACCUGUUAUGCACAUGGACUGUGCUAAGAGUUGGGACGCAAGAAAUAGAUGGCAGGGUCCCUAUCCCCAGAAAUGGUUAUAGUCUCCUUGAUAAGGAAAAUGAUAUUGGCUUCCACAGAUGGCUGGUUUAAGCUGACAUUUCAAUUCCACUGAAACGCGCCCUUUUCCGGAUAACCACGCAAGUUCUCCCAUGCACCAUAUGUUAAUAAACAGCAUCCAGCACCUUUGUGGGCAGCACUGCCACUGCGGAGUCACACUCCGGAAACUUAGCUGCGGGGAAGGCCUGGGGUGAAGCCCCAGAGUCCAGGCUGGUGGUAAGGGGCUAGAGCCAAAAGGACAUUGAGUGGGAAAUGAAAGGAGAGGCAUUUGUGGAAGAGAAAGUAGUUCUGAGGCUUAAAAAAAAAUCCUAAAGUAGAAAUAAGGGGAUUGAAAAAGCAAUGAGCGAGCUUUGGUCGGGGUGUGUGGGUGCAGGGGGCAGUGGGAACUCUCUGUGCUAUCUGCCCAAUUUGUGAACCUAAAACCAUUACAAACAAAGUCUAUCAAACAAAACAAAACAGUGCGAAGGGAAGGAUAGGGGCAGGCGGUGACCUUUUCCUCUUCCUAAAAUGUCUCUUAAAGGGAAAAAGCAUCUAUUGACGAGCUGCAAUUCAUUCCUCCC